UUCCAAGAUAUCGUUAAUCAGUGAAACAUGCAAUCAACUUCUAAUAGAUUCUGGCUCUAUGGUGAACGAUGAAUGUUCAGAUAAUGAUCUUAUCCCUUCAGAUGCAAGUUUAAUGAAAAAUAUCAGAAUCUCAUGUGAUGGAAGUGAAGUUACUAUAUCAUUUCAACUUCCGCGGGAACAAAUAAGUCCAAUGACAAUUGUUGAUAAUAAGACUACCCUGGUUUAAGUUCAAUCGACCGGAUGAGUUCUGAUCAAUUGGAACUAUGUGAUUAAAUAGAAAUAGAGAGAAAAAAAAUCGUCGAAAUGUACAAAUGUUUGAAUGUUUGGACACAGAAUCCAAGUUACAAGUAAUUCAAUUUAUUCGCUGAUUUAUCAACAGUUUCUCUAAAUUCAUGAUAUUGAAUGUCCUCGUCAUGAUAAUUUGGAUUGUCCAUACAAUGAGAAAAUCCUUGUGGACAGCUAAUAAAAAAAGUGGUUCGAGUUUUUGAUUCACAAGAGGCUCUGGAAAAAAAAUUUCGAUCAACGAAAUGUUAUCAAGCUGAUAUUUUGAUCUUAUAUCGUAUGGAUUUUGUUUUCUCGUCAACUCAAUUGUCAAUGAAGGAUAAAGAAAAUGUCCCAAUCAUGUCAAUCAACCAAAGUCAUCAUGACAAAAAUGACCACGCAAUUGACCAGAAGGAACCUUGGCUUAUACAUAAUCGCUGUGAUUCAAACGAAAGUAACACUGUGAUAGCUCAUAAAUGAAGCUCUUUUUUUCAGCUCAACUUGGAAAUUUGAAAACUUUCAUCGCCAUGAAACUGAACCGGACUAACGAAUGAAAUUAAUACAUUGUAACCAAAACUAAUAAGUCCAAGGUGAAACUUUUCAAUGUCAAAAUUUACUAAAAAAAGAUAAUAAAAUAGCUAAUAAAUAUUAGAUCAAC